rnacentral:rRNA from 1 species
AGGAAUAUUGGUCAAUGGACGAGAGUCUGAACCAGCCAAGUAGCGUGAAGGAUGACUGCCCUAUGGGUUGUAAACUUCUUUUAUACGGGAAUAAAGUGAGGCACGUGUGCCUUUUUGUAUGUACCGUAUGAAUAAGGAUCGGCUAACUCCGUGCCAGCAGCCGCGGUAAUACGGAGGAUCCGAGCGUUAUCCGGAUUUAUUGGGUUUAAAGGGAGCGUAGGCGGACGCUUAAGUCAGUUGUGAAAGUUUGCGGCUCAACCGUAAAAUUGCAGUUGAUACUGGGUGUCUUGAGUACAGUAGAGGCAGGCGGAAUUCGUGGUGUAGCGGUGAAAUGCUUAGAUAUCACGAAGAACUCCGAUUGCGAAGGCAGCUUGCUGGACUGUAACUGACGCUGAUGCUCGAAAGUGUGGGUAUCAAACAGGAUUAGAUACCCUGGUAGUCCACACAGUAAACGAUGAAUACUCGCUGUUUGCGAUAUACAGUAAGCGGCCAAGCGAAAGCAUUAAGUAUUCCACCUGGGGAGUACGCCGGCAACGGUGAAACUCAAAGGAAUUGACGGGGGCCCGCACAAGCGGAGGAACAUGUGGUUUAAUUCGAUGAUACGCGAGGAACCUUACCCGGGCUUAAAUUGCAAAUGAAUUAUGGGGAAACCCAUACGCCGCAAGGCAUUUGUGAAGGUGCUGCAUGGUUGUCGUCAGCUCGUGCCGUGAGGUGUCGGCUUAAGUGCCAUAACGAGCGCAACCCUUAUCUUCAGUUACUAACAGGUCAUGCUGAGGACUCUGGAGAGACUGCCGUCGUAAGAUGUGAGGAAGGUGGGGAUGACGUCAAAUCAGCACGGCCCUUACGUCCGGGGCUACACACGUGUUACAAUGGGGGGUACAGAAGGCCGCUACCUGGUGACAGGAUGCCAAUCCCAAAAACCUCUCUCAGUUCGGAUCGAAGUCUGCAACCCGACUUCGUGAAGCUGGAUUCGCUAGUAAUCGCGCAUCAGCCAUGGCGCGGUGAAUACGUUCCCG